rnacentral:rRNA from 1 species
UACAGAGGUCUCAAGCGUUGUUCGGAUUCAUUGGGCGUAAAGAGUGCGUAGGCGGUUUUCUAAGUUUGGUGUGAAAUCUCCCGGCUCAACUGGGAGGGUGCGCCGAAGACUGGAAGGCUUGAGUAUGGGAGAGGUAAGCGGAAUUCCUGGUGUAGCGGUGAAAUGCGUAGAUAUCAGGAGGAACACCUGCGGUGUAGACGGCUUACUGGACCAUAACUGACGCUGAGGCACGAAAGCGUGGGUAGCAAACAGG